GGGUCUACCUCGGGGGGCCUUCACAGGCUGAGAUGCUGACCAGCGGACCCGUUGAACCUGAACCGGUUAACACCGGCGGAGGGAAGGUGCGGUGUCUCGAA
rnacentral:ncRNA from 1 species